rnacentral:rRNA from 1 species
CUAGAGUUGAAUCAUGGCUCAGAUUGAACGCUGCGGCAGCCUAACACAUGCAAGUCGAGCGGUAGAGAGAAGCUUGCUUCUCUUGAGAGCGGCGGACGGGUGAGUAAUGCCUAGGAAUCUGCCUGGUAGUGGGGGAUAACGUUCGGAAACGGACGCUAAUACCGCAUACGUCUACGGGAGAAAGCAGGGGACCUUCGGGCCUUGCGCUAUCAGAUGAGCCUAGGUCGGAUUAGCUAGUUGGUGAGGUAAUGGCUCACCAAGGCGACGAUCCGUAACUGGUCUGAGAGGAUGAUCAGUCACACUGGAACUGAGACACGGUCCAGACUCCUACGGGAGGCAGCAGUGGGGAAUAUUGGACAAUGGGCGAAAGCCUGAUCCAGCCAUGCCGCGUGUGUGAAGAAGGUCUUCGGAUUGUAAAGCACUUUAAGUUGGGAGGAAGGGUUGUAGAUUAAUACUCUGCAAUUUUGACGUUACCGACAGAAUAAGCACCGGCUAACUCUGUGCCAGCAGCCGCGGUAAUACAGAGGGUGCAAGCGUUAAUCGGAAUUACUGGGCGUAAAGCGCGCGUAGGUGGUUUGUUAAGUUGGAUGUGAAAUCCCCGGGCUCAACCUGGGAACUGCAUUCAAAACUGACUGACUAGAGUAUGGUAGAGGGUGGUGGAAUUUCCUGUGUAGCGGUGAAAUGCGUAGAUAUAGGAAGGAACACCAGUGGCGAAGGCGACCACCUGGACUAAUACUGACACUGAGGUGCGAAAGCGUGGGGAGCAAACAGGAUUAGAUACCCUGGUAGUCCACGCCGUAAACGAUGUCAACUAGCCGUUGGAARCCUUGARCUUUUAGUGGCGCAGCUAACGCAUUAAGKUGRACCCCGCC